rnacentral:rRNA from 1 species
UCCUACGGGGGGCAGCAGUGAGGAAUAUUGGUCAAUGGUCGGGAGACUGAACCAGCCAAGCCGCGUGAGGGAUGAAGGUACAGAGUAUCGUAAACCUCCUUUGUCAGGGAACAAAGGCGGGGACGUGUCCCCGGAUGAGUGUACCUGAAGAAAAAGCAUCGGCUAACUCCGUGCCAGCAGCCGCGGUAAUACGGAGGAUGCGAGCGUUAUCCGGAUUUAUUGGGUUUAAAGGGUGCGCAGGCGGUCUGUUAAGUCAGCGGGCAAAGCCCGGGGCUCAACCCCGGCCCGCCGUUGAAACUGGCAGG